rnacentral:rRNA from 1 species
GACGAACGCUGGCGACGCGCUUAACACAUGCAAGUCGAACGGAAAGGCCUGCUUUCCCUUGUGGAUUGCGGGUACUCGAGUGGCGAACGGGUGAGUAACACGUGAGUGAUCUGCCCCCAACUUGGGUAUAAGCCUGGGAAACUGGGUCUAAUUCCCGAUAGGACUGCAGGGUGGUGCCUGUGGUGGAAAACGAUUUUCUAGUGGUUGGGGAUGAGCUCGCGGCCUAUCAGCUUGUUGGUGGGGGAAUGGCCUACCAAGGCGGCGACGGGUAGCCGGCCUGAGAGGGUGGACGGCCCCAUUGGGACAGGGAUACGGCCCAGACUCCUACGGGAGGCAGCAGUGGGGAAUAUUGCGCAAUGGGCGGAAGCCUGAUGCAGCGACGCCGCGUGGGGGAUGGCGGCCUUCGGGUUGUAAACUCCUUUCGACCGCGAGGAAGCCACCUGGUUGGAAGGGUGGUGACGGUAGUGGUAGAAGAAGCACCGGCUAACUACGUG